AAAAAACAAACAAAUCUGGGACUCCCGGGGUAAAAGCCAACUCCGCAUUAAGCCACUUCCUGGGUCUGCCUGACCCUCACAUGCAUGCCUUCUACCUUACCCAGAAGCACAAGCAAACAGGACCUGACUUCUUUCAACAUGGAGCUGUCCUCCAGCGGCAUCAGUGCUGACCUCAGCAGGGUUACACUGUGACCUGGCUGCCCUCCCGGGAAAAGACUUCGUUGCUGGCCUCGGGAGCCCCUCGUUACCAGCACGUGGGCCGAGUGCUGCUGUUCCAAGAGCCACAGGGUGGAGGACACUGGAGCCAGGUCCAGACAAUCCAUGGGACCCAGAUUGGCUCUUAUUUCGGUGGGGAGCUGUGUGGCGUCGACGUGGACCAAGAUGGGGAGACAGAGCUGCUGCUGACUGGUGCCCCACUGUUCUAUGGGGAGCAGAGAGGAGGCCGAGUGUUUAUCUACCAGAGAAGACAGUUGGGAUUUGAAGAAGUCUCAGAGCUGCAGGGGGACCCCGGCUACCCACUCGGGCGGUUUGGAGAAGCCAUCACUGCUCUGACAGACAUCAACGGCGAUGGGCUG
rnacentral:sRNA from 1 species